rnacentral:rRNA from 1 species
AUGAACGCUAGCUACAGGCUUAACACAUGCAAGUCGAGGGGCAGCAUGGUCUUAGCUUGCUAAGGCCGAUGGCGACCGGCGCACGGGUGAGUAACACGUAUCCAACCUGCCGUCUACUCUUGGACAGCCUUCUGAAAGGAAGAUUAAUACAAGAUGGCAUCAUGAGUCCACAUGUUCACAUGAUUAAAGGUAUUCCGGUAGACGAUGGGGAUGCGUUCCAUUAGAUAGUAGGCGGGGUAACGGCCCACCUAGUCUUCGAUGGAUAGGGGUUCUGAGAGGAAGGUCCCCCACAUUGGAACUGAGACACGGUCCAAACUCCUACGGGAGGCAGCAGUGAGGAAUAUUGGUCAAUGGGCGAGAGCCUGAACCAGCCAAGUAGCGUGAAGGAUGACUGCCCUAUGGGUUGUAAACUUCUUUUAUAAAGGAAUAAAGUCGGGUAUGGAUACCCGUUUGCAUGUACUUUAUGAAUAAGGAUCGGCUAACUCCGUGCCAGCAGCCGCGGUAAUACGGAGGAUCCGAGCGUUAUCCGGAUUUAUUGGGUUUAAAGGGAGCGUAGAUGGAUGUUUAAGUCAGUUGUGAAAGUUUGCGGCUCAACCGUAAAAUUGCAGUUGAUACUGGAUAUCUUGAGUGCAGUUGAGGCAGGCGGAAUUCGUGGUGUAGCGGUGAAAUGCUUAGAUAUCACGAAGAACUCCGAUUGCGAAGGCAGCCUGCUAAGCUGCAACUGACAUUGAGGCUCGAAAGUGUGGGUAUCAAACAGGAUUAGAUACCCUGGUAGUCCACACGGUAAACGAUGAAUACUCGCUGUUUGCGAUAUACAGCAAGCGGCCAAGCGAAAGCGUUAAGUAUUCCACCUGGGGAGUACGCCGGCAACGGUGAAACUCAAAGGAAUUGACGGGGGCCCGCACAAGCGGAGGAACAUGUGGUUUAAUUCGAUGAUACGCGAGGAACCUUACCCGGGCUUGAAUUGCAGGUGCAUGGACAAGAGAUUGUCCUUUCCUUCGGGACUCCUGUGAAGGUGCUGCAUGGUUGUCGUCAGCUCGUGCCGUGAGGUGUCGGCUUAAGUGCCAUAACGAGCGCAACCCUUGUUGUCAGUUACUAACAGGUUCCGCUGAGGACUCUGACAAGACUGCCAUCGUAAGAUGUGAGGAAGGUGGGGAUGACGUCAAAUCAGCACGGCCCUUACGUCCGGGGCUACACACGUGUUACAAUGGGGGGUACAGAGGGCCGCUACCACGCGAGUGGAUGCCAAUCCCAAAAACCUCUCUCAGUUCGGACUGGAGUCUGCAACCCGACUCCACGAAGCUGGAUUCGCUAGUAAUCGCGCAUCAGCCACGGCGCGGUGAAUACGUUCCCGGGCCUUGUACACACCGCCCGUCAAGCCAUGGGAGCCGGGGGUACCUGAAGUGCGUAACCGCGAGGAGCGCCCUAGGGUAAAACUGGUGACUGGGGCU